AUGGUCGUAGGCUCAGGCGCGGACAUCGCUAACCUUAAGUUCCUCCUCCUCUGCUUCCAACAAAUGUCUGGCCUCAAGAUCAACUUCGACAAGAGUGAUGUGAUGGUAAUGGGCUACCCUCCGGUGAAGGCCUUCGACAUCGCCAACCACCUCAAUGGCCGCCUUGGUUCCUUCCCAAUGACUUACUUGGGAAUGCCCAUUAGUGACUCUCGGCUUACCGUUGCGGAGUUGCGUCCGACCGUAGCAAAGCUGCAAACGCACAUUGAGCCAUGGCAGGGUAGGUGGCUGUCAAAGGCGGCUUGAACGAUUCUCAUCAACUCCUCCCUCUCUAGCCUCCUCUUGUUCCUCAUGAGCUUCUACAGCCUUCACGAGACCCUUCACCAUGAGAUCGCCAAGGUUCAAUAUCGCUUCUAUUGGGCUGGCGAUAACAAUAAGCAAAAAUACCAUAUGGUUAGCUGGCCAGACAUCUGCAAGCCCCGGGAUCAAGGAGGCCUUGGUAUUAUGUUCUCUAAGAGCAUGAAUAUUGCCCUCCUUUCCCGUUGGCUCUGGCGCAUCUCGCAAGGACACGGCGGUCUCUGGUCAGACAUCAUCCGGAACAAGUACCUGCAUGGGCAACCCCUGGCCUUCUGUCAAAGGUCCGGCGGUUCCCAAUUCUGGUAG
rnacentral:rRNA from 1 species